rnacentral:tRNA from 1 species
GCGCCCGUAGCUCAGCGGAUCAGAGCAUCGGUCUUCGGAACCGGGGGUCGUGGGUUCGAAUCCCACCGGGCGCACCA